AUUGAACGCUGGCGGCAGGCCUAACACAUGCAAGUCGAACGAGUGGCGGACGGGUGAGUAAUGUAUGGGAAACUGCCUGAUGGAGGGGGAUAACUACUGGAAACGGUAGCUAAUACCGCAUCCCAUCAGAUGUGCCCAGAUGGGAUUAGCUAGUAGGUGGGGUAACGGCCCACCUAGGCGACGAUCCCUAGCUGGUCUGAGAGGAUGUCCAGCCACACUGGAAAUGAGACACGGUCCAGACUCCUACGGGAGGCAGCAGUGGGGAAUAUUGCACAAUGGGCGCAAGCCUGAUGCAGCCAUGCCGCGUGUCUGAAGAAGGCCUUCGGGUUGUAAAGGACUUUCAGCGGGGAGGCGUUACCCGCAGAAGAAGCACCGGCUAACUCCGUGCCAGCAGCCGCGGUAAUUC
rnacentral:rRNA from 1 species